rnacentral:tRNA from 1 species
UGGGGCGUGGCCAAGUGGGUAAGGGCAACGGGUUUUGGGUCCCGCUAUUCGGAGGUUCGAAUCCUUCCGUCCCAG